rnacentral:rRNA from 1 species
CGGCGGACGGGUGAGUAAUGCGUGGGUAACCUGCCUCAUACAGGGGGAUAACAGUUGGAAACGGCUGCUAAUACCGCAUAAGCGCACAGUACCGCAUGGUACCGUGUGAAAAACUCCGGUGGUAUGAGAUGGACCCGCGUCUGAUUAGCUAGUUGGUGGGGUAACGGCCUACCAAGGCGACGAUCAGUAGCCGACCUGAGAGGGUGACCGGCCACAUUGGGACUGAGACACGGCCCAA